UACGAGAGGUGCAAGCGUUAUUCGGAAUUAUUGGGCGUAAAGGGCGCGUAGGCGGUUUGUUAAGUUUGUUGUUAAAUCCUCUGGCUUAACUAGAGAUAAGCAAUAAAAACUGGCAAUCUAGAGCGUGAGAGAGAGAAGUGGAAUUCCCGGAGUAGCGGUAAAAUGCGUAGAUCUCGGGAGGAACACCAAUGGCGAAGGCUGCUUCUUGGCUCAUUGCUGACGCUGAGGCGCGAAAGCGUGGGGAGCAAAC
rnacentral:rRNA from 1 species